GAAGCUUCGCUAGCUAUAUAUAUAUAUGUUAGAAGUAGAUAAAGCAAAAUUAGCCUUCAGGCCGGUGUCUAUAUAUAUAUAUAUAAGAUCAUAUUUGCAACACCAAAUUGUGGCCAUAUAUAUAUGGAUGAAAUACUUGGCAUCAGCAGGAGUUUUUUUGGGCAUUCUACUCAAUGAAGAUCAUCAUGCAUGGCGAGUUUACAACCAUUUUCUUGCCGACACACAUUAUUCGGUGCAAUUUUGUUUGUUUUCAUCUUUUUGGGUAAUGCUUAUAUAUAUAUAGUUUUAAGCUUUUGAAUCUUUGAUCAGGUGGGAAGAGGUGUGUGCUGUUGUUACAGGCGAUUUGCAUGCAUUCGGCUCCCGUGUCAUCAAGAAAUGGCCAGGGAUCACAGGCGAGCCCACUGCAGAUUUCAUGUGAAGGGCAUGCAAGAGAUCAAACAGAUUUUUUGUCGUCCCCAUGCAUCAACAUAUAUAUAUAUAUAUAUAUAUAUAUAUAUAUAUACAUGCCACUAGAAGGCGUGAGAUAACUCCGAACUGAUCCCCACCUUUCCUAUAAUUGAUCUCUUCGCCUCUUUCAUAUAUAGAUUAUGAUCACUUGAGUCCAGAACCAACCCACAUGGAAGGUAUGGAUGCAUAUGCAGUCCCAUCCCAAUCUAGGUUAACGUUGAGCCUGAGCACCAAAUUCCAAAAUAUAUUUGCCCCCACCCUAUAAUGUGUUACGCAGCUUCCGCGAAGCUUCGUCUUUCUACCUCAGCAUUACCGGACGGUUCUGUACGGACAGUUGCUAUAUGUGUAUUUUUUUCACUUCCAUAUAGAUGAUAUAGCAGAUGAAAAACAUAUAUAAACAUAAAUAUAUAUAUAUGUAAUUUGUGGUGUCAAAGAGUAAAUAUGAUUCUGAAAGUGUAUAACUUGAUUGCUUGGUCGAAGUCCUGAUCUACUCUUCAGAACGUUGAAACGUCAACCUUGUGGUAGUGACAAAAUGUAUUGAUCUUUUGGGGAUUAAUGCAGUUGAUCACGCAAUACU